GAUGAACGCUGGCGGUGUGCCUAAUACAUGCAAGUCGAGCGAACAGACGAGGAGCUUGCUCCUCUGACGUUAGCGCCGGACGGGUGAGUAACACGUGGAUAACCUACCUAUAAGACUGGGAUAACUUCGGGAAACCGGAGCUAAUACCAGAUAAUAUAUUGAACCGCAUGGUUCAAUAGUGAAAGACGGUUUUGCUGUCACUUAUAGAUGGAUCCGCGCCGCAUUUGCUAGUUGGUAAGGCAAAGGAUUACCAAGGCAACGAUGCGUAGCCGCCCGGAGAGGAUGAUCGGCCACACUGGAACGACGACACGGUCCAGACGCCUACGGGAGGGAGCAGUAGGGAAUCGUCCGCAAUGGGCGGAAGCCUGACGGAGCAACGCCACGUGAGUGAUGAGGGUCUUCGGAUCGUAAAACUCUGUUAUUAGGGAAGAACAAAUGUGUACGUAGCUAUGCACGUCUUGACGGUACCUAAUCAGAAAGCCACGGCUAACUACGUG
rnacentral:rRNA from 1 species